rnacentral:misc_RNA from 1 species
ACUUUAAUCUGUCACCCGAUCCUUGCUCAUAUCUGUAGUACGGUUCACCGAUAUUCUCUCAGUUUUUAACGAUGAGUAGAGGAGCAAGCAGUCGAGAUAGAUUGGAUGACCUUGAUGGUGAGGUUAGUGAGGUCACUUCCCUCCUCAAGGACAAUGUGGACAAGGUGUUACGACGAGGCGAUAAACUUGACGACAUUCAGCAGAAAGCAGAUGACCUUGAGUCCAGUUCCAUUCAGUUCAAAAAGCGUUCCACGGACCUUCGACGUAAGAUGUGCUGUUCCAACAUUCGAAUGACACUAAUCCUUAUACUGGUUGUGGUUGUUAUCAUUGCAGUUAUUGUGGUUAUCGUUUUAAUGACAGUUAAACCAUGGGAACAUUCAGACAGUGGGGGUGGUAACCAUGGAAACAAAACCAUCACCUAAGGGUAAAGGUGGAUAAUUGGAGUAUCAAAUUCUUAUUCCCUGUGAUUUUUUUCAUUUCCUAAGGAUGGGACCAGCAAUAGAUUAUUGUGUUAUACAUGUCAAUGUCAUUUAAGAUUUGGUUCUUUGUUUGUUUGUGUUUGUGGUUUUUUUUGUUUUGUUUUUUUUUUUUGUUGGGGGGGGGGGGGGUUAUUAAUGUUGUUUUAUUAAAACACUGAUGAUAUAUAUAUAUAAACUACUAGCUGACAAAAAUAAAAAAUUAUCACUUU